GCCCUGUGUGAGGUGGAGAGGAGCCCACGGCCCUGUGGGUGUGGAACAUUUCUGGCUCUGGGAACUCAGACGCGAAUCUCCGCUCUUCUCUCGUGACGUUUUGUUCCGUUUCCCAGUACGGAAGUUCCGCGGGCUGCCUUGCUGCGUGGUUCUCCUCCCUCGUGCUGCGGGUGUCACCGUGGUGAUGUGUGCUGGGCUCGGCUCCCUCCCUAUUCCCAGACCUGAUGCUCCCGACAGGAUUGCACAAAGCUGUGGGCUGUGCCCGCCGAGCUUUGGCUUCGGGCCUGUGGAGGAGCGGGCUGUGCCAUGGCUUACCAGCUCCAUGAGUGCAGAAAAGCCCAAGAUUCCUGUCGCUUUGUUUGCAGGAUUAUGCACCCAGGUGUGGCUGCGAUGGACACUGCCCAGCACAUUCUGUUGAAGCAGAGAUCAACGUGAUCAGAAUUUCCUUUGGAGGGAAAAUGAUGUUUCGUGCCACACAGAGAGAUUUUGUAGCAGUGUCGAGAUAUGUAAUAACCAGGAAGAGUACGAAAAGAGACGGAGCGGUUUCAUUUUCCACCUCCAAGCAGAACCGCGUGACGCAACGCACCGCUUCACAACCGCGGCGACGACGCAGCGGGAGGCGGACAGAAAACCCCUCCGCUACCUGCGAGCACAACACUCUCGCUUUUGGAAUGCUGCGAAAACCAAACCGGCGCAUUCGCUUUCCCUCUUUCCGUUUCUCCCACCUCUCCUAGCCCCCCUCCCCUCUUCCCUCUCCUCUUUUCUCUAUUCUCCGCACACACCCCCGUCCUCUUCCCUCCUCCUCUCCCCAUCAGCCGCUGUCUGUUCCAGCCGGGAUGGGACACGCAGCACACGACACUUCGCUUCCCCCCAUCCUCUUUCGCCGCGGUCU